rnacentral:rRNA from 1 species
GACUGGAGUCUGCAACCCGACUCCACGAAGCUGGAUUCGCUAGUAAUCGCGCAUCAGCCACGGCGCGGUGAAUACGUUCCCGGGCCUUGUACACACCGCCCGUCAAGCCAUGGGAGCCGGGGGUACCUGAAGUGCGUAACCGCGAGGAUCGCCCUAGGGUAAAACUGGUGACUGGGGGCUAAGUCGUAACAAGGUAGC